AAGAUCAUACUUCACAGGAUCAUUUCUGUAGUAUAUCUUCGCAUACUCUUCACAAACGUGUAGAGUUAUUGCAACCAUGAUGACGAGGCACAACUCUGCAUCUUGAGCGUGAGGCUGCAAUAUGCGUAUUCUCCGGAUUACUCAUAUUGUCACGAUGAUCGUUCAGAUCACCUUUGGUGGUUUUACGGAUGCGGGUAUUCCGAGUGGU